UGCAAGGGAAUAGAUUACUAAGAAAGGAUAAAUAAUCCUGAUCGAUUGUAAGCAACGACGUUAGUUUCCCAUACGAAAGAACAUAAUAAAUGCGAUAGAAAGAGAAAGAUAUUCUUACAAGGGGUUGUUAAGGGAAGCCUCAACAGGGCUGGCGUUCAUCGGGCUACCUUCGGAUGAAUACGAGCCGAAGAAGAAUGAGAAUAAGGGUGAAGGAUGAGAGAUAGUGUUUUCGGUUCGCCGCACUAUUAAAAUACGGUACAAACGUUAGAGAGAGAGAGAUAAAAUAAGAAGGGUCAUUGAGAAUGAAGGAAAACACCAAGAAUGAGAAUCACUGCACACACCAUCGUUAGGUGGUGUGGGUAGCCGAAAAACUUACAUUUGGUAGCGCGUUAGACGAGGACGAUCGUGAAGGGUG